GACGAACGUUGGCGGCGUGCUUAACACAUGCAAGUCGAACGGAAAGGCCCUGCUUUUGUGGGGUGCUCGAGUGGCGGACGGGUGAAUAACACGUGAGUAACCUGCCCUUGACUUUGGGAUAACUUCAGGAAACUGGGGCUAAUACCGGAUAGGAGCUCCUGCUGCAUGGUGGGGGUUGGAAAGUUUCGGCGGUUGGGGAUGGACUCGCGGCUUAUCAGCUUGUUGGUGGGGUAGUGGCUUACCAAGGCUUUGACGGGUAGCCGGCCUGAGAGGGUGACCGGCCACAUUGGGACUGAGAUACGGCCCAGACUCCUACGGGAGGCAGCAGUGGGGAAUAUUGCACAAUGGGCGGAAGCCUGAUGCAGCAACGCCGCGUGCGGGAUGACGGCCUUCGGGUUGUAAACCGCUUUCGCCUGUGACGAAGCGUGAGUGACGGUAAUGGGUAAAGAAGCACCGGCUAACUACGUGCCAGCAGCCCGCGUGAUACGUAAGGUGCGAGCGUUGUCCGGAUUUAUUGGGCGUAAAGGGCUCGUAGGUGGUUGAUCGCGUCGGAAGUGUAAUCUUGGGGCUUAACCCUGAGCGUGCUUUCGAUACGGGUUGACUUGAGUUUUUAGGGGAGAAUGGAAUUCCUGGUGGAGCGGUGGAAUGCGCAGAUAUCAGGAGGAACACCAGUGGCGAAGGCGGUUCUCUGGGCCUUUCCUGACGCUGAGGAGCGAAAGCGUGGGGAGCGAACAGGCUUAGAUACCCUGGUAGUCCACGCUGUAAACGGUGGGUACUAGGUGUGGGGUCCAUUCCACGGGUUCCGUGCCGUAGCUAACGCUUUAAGUACCCCGCCUGGGGAGUACGGCCGCAAGGCUAAAACUCAAAGGAAUUGACGGGGCCCCGCACAAGCGGCGGAGCAUGCGGAUUAAUUCGAUGCAACGCGUAGAACCUUACCUGGGUUUGACAUGGAUCGGGAGUGCUCAGAGAUGGGUGUGCCUCUUUUGGGGUCGGUUCACAGGUGGUGCAUGCCUGUCGUCAGCUCGUGUCGUGAGAUGUUGGGUUAAGUCCCGCAACGAGCGCAACCCUUGUUCACUGUUGCCAGCACGUUAUGGUGGGGACUCAGUGGAGACCGCCGGGGUCAACUCGGAGGGAGGUGGGGAUGGCGUCAAGUCAUCAUGCCCCUUAUGUCCAGGGCUUCACGCAUGCUACAAUGGCUGGUACAGAGAGUGGCGAGCCUGUGAGGGUGAGCGAAUCUCGGAAAGCCGGUCUCAGUUCGGAUUGGGGUCUGCAACUCGACCUCAUGAAGUCGGAGUCGCUAGUAAUCGCAGAUCAGCAACGCUGCGGUGAAUACGUUCCCGGGGCU
rnacentral:rRNA from 1 species